GCACUACUGACGAGUCCCAAGUAGGACGAAACAGUUGUCCAGUGC
rnacentral:hammerhead_ribozyme from 1 species